GGGUGCAUGUGAAAACUGUGGAGCAAUGUCCCAUGACACUAGGUCAUGUAUGGAAAGGCCACGCAAACUGGGAGCAAAAUGGACAGGGAAACACAUUGCUCCUGAUGAGAAGAUAGAGCAGUUUGAGCUGGACUAUGAUGGUAAAAGGGAUCGUUGGAAUGGUUAUGAUGCUGCUUCUUAUGCCCAUGUCAUUGAACGAUAUGAAGCAAGGGAUGAAGCAAGAAGGAAAUACCUCAAAGAGCAACAACUUAAAAAAUUGGAAGAAAAAAAUAACAAGGAUGACAAAGAAGGAGGUGAUAGUGACAAUGAGGAUUGUGAGGAUGCUUUGAAGGUAGACGAAGCGAAGGUUGAUGAAAGCAAGCAAAUGGAUUUUGCCAAAGUUGAGAAGCGUGUGCGGACCACUGGUGGUGGUAGCACAGGGACUGUUAGGAACCUGCGUAUUCGGGAGGAUACGGCUAAAUAUCUUCUCAAUCUUGAUGUAAAUUCAGCACACUAUGAUCCCAAAACACGGUCCAUGCGUGAAGAUCCUCUUCCUGAUAUGGACCCGAACGAAAAGUUCUAUGCUGGCGAUAACCAAAACAGAGUUAGUGGUCAAGCAUUGGAGUUCAAGCAGCUUAAUAUUCAUGCCUGGGAGGCUUUUGAUAAGGGUCAUGAUGUUCAUAUGCAAGCAGCUCCAUCCCAGGCAGAAUUGCUCUACAAAAAUUUUAAGAUUAACAAGGAGAAAUUGAAGGUGCAAACUAAGGAUGAUGUCAUGGAGAAGUAUGGCAAUGCAGCUAGUGAGGACACACUUCCAAGAGAACUCCUACUGGGUCAAAGUGAGAAAGAGGUUGAAUAUGAUCGUGCUGGUAGGAUUGUGAAGGGACAGGAGAUGUCACUUCCUAGAAGCAAAUAUGAAGAGGAUGUUUACAUCAAUAACCACACCACUGUUUGGGGUUCAUGGUGGAAAGAUCACCAAUGGGGUUAUAAGUGCUGCAAACAAACAAUCAGAAAUAGCUAUUGUACUGGUGCUGCUGGAAUUGAAGCAGCAGAAGCCUCUGCUGGUCUUAUGAAAGCCAACAUUGCUCGUAAGGAGGCUGCUGAAGAUACACAUGUGCCUGUCGAGGAGAAGAGGCAAGCUACUUGGGGGACUGAAGUACCGGAAGAUCUGAUACUAGACCAGAAAAAGCUCACUGAAGCUAUAAAGAAGGAAGAGGAGAGGAGACGAGAAGAGAAAGAUGAACGGAAGAGGAAAUAUAAUGUUAAAUAUAAUGAUGAGGUUACACCUGAAGAAAUGGAGGCAUAUAGGAUGAAGCGGGUUCACCAAGAUGAUCCAAUGAAGGACUUCCUUCACUGAAUCGUAGAUAUGGCCAAAUUGUUCACCUCUUAGGGAAAACAUCAGUUGGGACCAUGUGCCAGUCUUAGGUGAAAUUGGGUAUGAUAUUUUCUUUGUCGAAAAUUGUAUUGUGAUGAAGAGUCUGUGUUGGGAUUGCUUGAGAUCUAUUUCUUCUUUGAUUUAGUACCUUAAAGUUGUAUACAACUGCAUGACACACUCUUUAAGAACAUAUGUACAAUAAGAUACCUAAGAAUUGGGAAGCAUCUAUGUACGUGUAAUGUGCUGUAUUCACC
rnacentral:misc_RNA from 1 species